CAGUAGCCGCGGUAAUACAGAGGGUGCGAGCGUUAAUCGGAUUUACUGGGCGUAAAGCGUGCGUAGGCGGCUUCUUAAGUCGGAUGUGAAAUCCCUGAGCUUAACUUAGGAAUUGCAUUCGAUACUGGGAAGCUAGAGUAUGGGAGAGGAUGGUAGAAUUCCAGGUGUAGCGGUGAAAUGCGUAGAGAUCUGGAGGAAUACCGAUGGCGAAGGCAGCCAUCUGGCCUAAUACUGACGCUGAGGUACGAAAGCAUGGGGAGCAAACAGGAUUAGAUACCCCCGUAGUCCCUGUCCUUAUACA
rnacentral:rRNA from 1 species